rnacentral:sRNA from 1 species
UUUUUUUUUCAUUUUUUUUGUUUCUUCUCUU